rnacentral:rRNA from 12 species
GCCGUAAUCCGGCACAGAGACAGUGUCUGGUGGGUAGUUUGACUGGGGCGGUCUCCUCCUAAAGAGUAACGGAGGAGUACGAAGGUGCGCUCAGACCGGUCGGAAAUCGGUCGUAGAGUAUAAAGGCAAAAGCGCGCUUGACUGCGAGACAGACACGUCGAGCAGGUACGAAAGUAGGUCUUAGUGAUCCGGUGGUUCUGUAUGGAAGGGCCAUCGCUCAACGGAUAAAAGGUACUCCGGGGAUAACAGGCUGAUACCGCCCAAGAGUUCAUAUCGACGGCGGUGUUUGGCACCUCGAUGUCGGCUCAUCACAUCCUGGGGCUGAAGCCGGUCCCAAGGGUAUGGCUGUUCGCCAUUUAAAGAGGUACGUGAGCUGGGUUUAAAACGUCGUGAGACAGUUUGGUCCCUAUCUGCUGUGGGCGUUGGAAAUUUGACGGGGGCUGCUCCUAGUACGAGAGGACCGGAGUGGACGAACCUCUGGUGUUCCGGUUGUCACGCCAGUGGCAUUGC